GAUGAACGCUGGCGGCGUGCUUAACACAUGCAAGUCGAACGGAAAGGCCCAAGCUUGCUUGGGUACUCGAGUGGCGAACGGGUGAGUAACACGUGGGUGAUCUGCCCUGCACUUCGGGAUAAGCCUGGGAAACUGGGUCUAAUACCGGAUAGGACGAUGGUUUGGAUGCCAUUGUGGAAAGUUUUUUCGGUGUGGGAUGAGCUCGCGGCCUAUCAGCUUGUUGGUGGGGUAAUGGCCUACCAAGGCGUCGACGGGUAGCCGGCCUGAGAGGGUGUACGGCCACAUUGGGACUGAGAGACGGCCCAGACUCCUACAGGAGGCAGCAGUGGGGAAUAUUGGACAAUGGGCGCAAGCCUGAUGCAGCGACGCCGCGUGGGGGAUGACGGCCUUCGGGUUGUAAACUCCUUUCGCUAGGGACGAAGCGUUUUUGUGACGGUACCUGGAGAAGAAGCACCGGCUAACUACGUG
rnacentral:rRNA from 1 species